rnacentral:rRNA from 1 species
AGUGAACGCUGGCGGUAGGCCUAACACAUGCAAGUCGAACGGCAGCACAGUAAGAGCUUGCUCUUACGGGUGGUGAGUGGCGGACGAGUGAGGAAUACAUCGGAAUCUACUUUUUCGUGGGGGAUAACGUAGGGAAACUUACGCUAAUACCGCAUACGACCUACGGGUGAAAGCAGGGGAUCUUCGGACCUUGCGCGAUUGAAUGAGCCGAUGUCGGAUUAGCUAGUUGGCGGGGUAAAGGCCCACCAAGGCGACGAUCCGUAGCUGGUCUGAGAGGAUGAUCAGCCACACUGGAACUGAGACACGGUCCAGACUCCUACGGGAGGCAGCAGUGGGGAAUAUUGGACAAUGGGCGCAAGCCUGAUCCAGCCAUACCGCGUGGGUGAAGAAGGCCUUCGGGUUGUAAAGCCCUUUUGUUGGGAAAGAAAGGCAGCAGGUUAAUACCCCGCUGUUCUGACGGUACCCAAAGAAUAAGCACCGGCUAACUUCGUG